AACACGGGAAGUCGCACCCCGUUCGGGUACGAAGCAUUGCCCAUUUGGGAUUUGGGAAUUUAGGAGGAGAGGCGGCCAUACGCAAAAGUCCCCAGUCUGCUGCUUCACAUAUAAAACCAACCAUUAGCCAUAUUGGCGACACGCGGGCCACAAAACCGUGUUUAGCCCAACCAGACCCACGAGACUCAAUUCAGAAUCUCCUCGCUUUCGCAAACCCUAACCCUAAACUCUAGAUUUGCUGCGAUAACGAUGGCCAGCGAUACCCCGGAUUCCAAACGCAAGCACCGAAGAUCCUCUGAUGAUGAUGCCGAUGACUCCUCCAAGCGCCGUAAGCACCGUCAUCACCACCACCAUCGCCGCCACCGCCAUAGCAGCCGGAAACACGAAGCUGAGGGGGAAGGAAAACAUGAAGCCGAAGGCGACGGAAAACACGCGGCCGAAGAUUUUGUGGCUCUUCCAUCACCACAGCCCGCUGCUACUGUCGUUGCUGUUGUAUCGGGUUCCAAUUGGAGACCCGAUUAUGAUAUGGAAGAAGGUGAGAUUGUCGAAGAAGAGGGGUUUGGGGCUGGUGGUGAUGCAAUUGAGAAGAGGAAAUCUGAUUCUGAUGUUGAGUCUGGCGAGAUUAAAGCACUGGAAGUUCGUGAUGUAUCUGAUGUUCAAAAUCUGGAUGGUCAUAUGGCAAAUGGUGAUCAACAAGAAUUUUGCGCAAUGGCUAAUAGUAGAGGGAAAGUUGCUAGAAAUUUGAAUACAUUGCAAGAGUAUAGGAGUGAUGAUGAUUUGGUGACUGAUUCAGAUUUAGUAAAUGAGACAGGCAAAUCAGACUAUGAAGCUAAAAUUGGUAAUAAGAUCCAUGGUGAGGAUGGUUUGUCAAGGCAUCCAAGUGCCAAGCAUUACGAAGAAUUGUUUUCGAUUGGUAGUCCAGAUGGUGAUAUGAAUAGGGAUGCUCGCCAUGAAUCUCAUCGGAAGAACAAUUCGGGAUGUGAAUCUCCUGUAAAAGGAUAUGGCAAGACAGAGAGUUAUUAUGAGGUUGAUAAAAGUGAAUUACAAAACCAGAGAAAAUCAUUGUCAUCUGAAAGUGCAGGGGACAAAUACAAAAAGUUGGCACACUCACCAACUCAUGAUCGAUAUCGAGAUAAGGUCCAUAUGAGGGGCAGAUCAAGGUCACAUGAUCAUGCUAGGGAGCGGUCUCGUUCCCAAAGCAUUUUGCAAGAUGUGGCCCUAUCUAAAGCAACCCACCAUCAAGAAUGGAAUGCCUCAAGUUAUGCUGGUAACAGAAGGACUGACAAUGAUACAGAUGAAGAAAUGGCUCUAAGAAGAAGGGAUUAUCGACAUCCUAGCCGAGAUUUGGUGAGGGAUGAGGAAAGAGAGCGUAGUAGUAGUCAUAGCAGACAAACUCAGAGAGGGGACAAACAUCAAAGUCGGGAGACAUGGGACAUGGCUAAGGCAGGAAGGGAGAUGGACUGGGAAAGGCAAAGGGAGAGAGAGCAAGACAGAAGUAGGGAGAGGGAGAGGGAGAGGAACCGGGAAAGGGAUAGAAAAAGGGAGAAGGAACGGGAUAGGAGCAUGGACAGGGAGAUGGAUAGGAAUAGGAAAAGGGAGAAGGAUAGGGGCACAGACAGGGAGAUGGACAGGGGUAGGAAACAGGAGAGAGAAAGAGAUAGGAGCUGGGACAGGGACAGGGCAAGGGAGAGAGAUAGAAAUAGAAAUAGGGACAUAGAUUGGGAGAACGACAGGGAUAGGGCCAGGGACAGGAAAUCAGAGAGGGGGAGUGGAAGGGACAGAAGUAGGGAUAAAGUUAGGGAUUCCGAGAGUGAUAGAGUUAGCAGGCACCAUAAAUACGAAACUCUUAAUGAUGGUUAUGGAAAUCGAGAUAGGUAUGGUGAUUCCUGGUAUCUAAGACAUGAUGAGACAGAACAUCAGAGGCAUAGAACAAGGAAGAAUGAUGAAGAAAAAGGUCUCAGUUCUAAGAAUGAUUCGCUUGAAGGGAAUGGUGACAAACUGAAUAGAGAUGAAGAUGAGCAUGAAGACUACCAGGAAAGGGUUACAUUGCAACUAGCAGAAAAGGAAGAGGAAGAGUUUAACCGAAUUAAGGAGGAGAGUAGAAGGCGAAGACAAGCCAUCCUAGAAAAAUAUAAAAGUCAACACUCACAGCAACAACUUGCAUCUCAUACAGAGGAUACAGGGAAAGAUAAGGAAUCUGUGGAGCAGCCCAGUGAGACAAUAGUUGCUGAAACUAUGGUCCCAGAGGUUCCCGAUGGGAAGAAUGAUGGUACAGAUACCUAUGAUGCUGAUCCAUCAUUUUCUGUGGGGAAGUCACCUCCACAAAAUGGACUUUCUGCCUCUGAGAGGACAUCUGGUGCCGGGGGUCUGGGUGAGGGCACUCCAAAGAGUGAAAGACCAGAUGAUAUGUUCUGUGAUGAUAUUUUUGGAGAGUCACCAGCAGGAGUUCGUAAAUCGGGAAGAGGAGAUGGCUUACUAAUUGAAAGGAGUGGUCUUCAUGACAAUUGGGAUGAUGCAGAGGGAUACUAUAGUCAUCGGUUUGGAGAGAUACUUGAUGGUCGAUAUGAAAUUACUGCUGCCCAUGGAAAAGGUGUCUUUUCAACAGUAGUUCGCGCAAAGGAUCUUAAGGCUGGGAAUGGUGAGCCAGAAGAAGUGGCUAUAAAAAUCAUACGAAAUAAUGACACAAUGUAUAAAGCUGGUCUGGAAGAGUUGGUCAUAUUAAAGAAAUUAGUAGGUGCAGAUCCAGAUGACAAGCGUCAUUGUGUUCGUUUUCUCUCUAGUUUCAAAUACAGGAAUCAUCUUUGUUUAGUUUUUGAAUCUCUUCAUAUGAAUCUCCGUGAGGUUCUAAAGAAGUUCGGUCGUAAUAUUGGCCUUAAAUUAACUGCUGUAAGGGCAUAUGCUAAACAGCUUUUCAUUGCUCUCAAGCAUCUUAGGAACUGUGGCGUUCUGCAUUGUGAUAUAAAGCCAGAUAAUAUGCUGGUAAAUGAGGCCAAAAAUGUCCUGAAACUCUGUGAUUUUGGUAAUGCCAUGUUUUCUGGUAAAAAUGAAAUUACACCAUAUCUUGUGAGCCGCUUUUAUCGUGCCCCUGAGAUAAUUCUAGGCUUGCCUUAUGACCAUCCCAUGGAUAUUUGGUCUGUUGGUUGUUGUUUGUAUGAGCUUUAUACGGGAAAAGUUCUUUUUCCGGGUCCUUCAAACAAUGACAUGCUUCGGCUUCACAUGGAGUUGAAGGGUCCUUUUCCAAAAAAGAUGCUUCGAAAGGGAGCAUUUACUGAUCAGCACUUUGAUCAGGACCUUAAUUUCCAUGCCACUGAGGAGGAUCCUGUCACAAAGAAGACAAUAAAAAGGCUGAUUAUGAACAUAAGGCCAAAAGAUAUUGGUACAAUAAUUUCAAGCUCUCCUGGUGAGGACCCAAAGAUGGCAGUGAAUUUCAAAGAUCUUUUAGAAAAAAUAUUUGUGUUGGAUCCGGAGAAGAGGAUGACAGUCUCACAAGCAUUGUGUCAUCCAUUCAUCACGGGCAAGUGAACAAUGACGCUGAUUUUCUGACUCCAGAAUAGAUGUUGCGCUUGAUAUUUGUACAUUAUGACCUAAAUUUAUAUUCAGAUCUCUAAUCAUUGGGCAUUUAUCUGUCUUUAUCUUCUCUGUGCUGGGUUAAGAGCUUUCAACACAGUUUUUGGCAUUGGUUGAAGUCAAAUGGAAGAUGUUUGGUCCGGAGACCUCCUUACUUGGCGGUUCUUUCACUGGAAUGUGUUCUGUUUCUAUUGAUAUCUACCAGUGCUAUGAGGCAAUCCUUCCGUGCUUAGAUGCUUAAAAGGCACCCAGGAGAAGGCAUUCGCACUGGGGAUGUACACUGCAGUGGUCAUGAAGUGAAAAUAAAUCUCAGGUACAUCCUCUCAAAAUUCUUCAAAACCUGUAAGUAUUCUCAAAUUCUAUUUAUUUGUCUUAACCUAUUCUGUUUUUGGAUAUUAUUCAUGGUUUCUAGCAAGAAUGAAAAUAUCUGUUUUUAUGGAUAUAUCGGGAAAUAUCGGUGGAACAAAAAUCGAUCAAAACUCAUUAAGACGUUGAGAAAAAUUAUAAAAAAAAUGAUAUAAGAAGUAAUAAUAAAUAUUUUGAAGUUGUUUUGUUAGAGAAAUUAAUAUAUGUAUGAUAUACUUUGUCGUAUGCGAUAAUAAUAUUGUGUACAUCGAUAAAAAAUAUAAUUUUAUAAGUAUAUAUUCAUUAUUAAGUUACAUUAAAUAUUAUUAGAUAAUAAUAUUGUGACAUUUUAUUAUAGUAUGUGUAACUUUAAAAUAUAAUUAAUAUUAAAAUUAUGAUCCAUUUAAUUCAUUUAUAUUCAUUGAUAUAAAAUAAAUGAUAACAUAUGUAUAAAUUUUUUAAAUAUUUAUAUUUUUUAUAUUUAAUAUAUAAAUAUGAUAAAAAAACUGUUAAGAAAAUUAUCACGAUAAUUUUUAUAUUUUUAGUGAUCAAUUAAACAAAAUUUAAAAAUAAAUUAAUUAGAAUUAAUUUGUUUGUUAAAAUAUUCUUUUAAUAUUUCGUUUUUAUGAUGGUUUUAGUAUAUAUCUAUUACGGUGCACUUAGUCUAAUGAAAGGGCAAGUUAGCCUAGUGGUGAGCCAAGGCUGAUUUUGCUUGUUUUGGCUUGGGUUUGAGUCCCAAUGCUUGCAACAAGCCAAAAUUUAAGAUUUUUGAGGGUUUGACCGCACUUUGACUGAGCCUGCCUGCAUUGACCAGACCGCAAAAUUAGUAGAAUCGCCGAUAAAUGGGUAAAAAUUGGAUAAAUCGCUGAAAAAUCACCGAAAGUUGUGGAAAUAUCGAUAUGUUUGCCCAAUAUAUCUAUCGGUGGCUGCCAAUAACCGAUAUUUCAGGAAUAUAUCGGUGAUAUAUCCUGAAAUUUUCAACCAUGGUUUCUGGUAACAAUUUCUAUGUGGUCUUUGAAUUGCCUUUUAGUAUGUGGCAAAAUUUUUUGUUACUUUUCCAUGUAACUGCCACAUGUUGACCUGUUUCUUUUAGUGGUGUUGCAAUUUUUAUUUUAUUUUUCUUUUUCCACCUGACUGGGAACAAAACUGAUGCCAAACCUAAAAUGUUUCAGUAUACCACUAACAUGUUGCGAGUGUCUUUCUUUUUCUUUUCCAUUCUUUUUUGUAAAAGAUUAAGAGGUUGAGUAAGAAGGGGGGCUUGCUUGCUGGCUCUCAAGCCUUAUGGGUGGGGCAUUUCUAAGGUAUUCCCUUUCAUUACAUGCACACAUUUAGGCCAUGUUUGGAACUUUAGAAUAGAGAAUAGGAUUGAGAAAUAAAUUUCAUUUCCCAUUCAUUCAUAUGUUUGGAUUGUUUUUCAGAAUGAGAUGGAUAAAAUUUUUAUUGUUAUAGAAACCUAAUCCCACUCUUACUAUGACUUUAAUUUACUAUAUGGAAUUAUGAUUCACCUCCUUUCCCAUCUUAUUUUCCAUUCCUUUACCAAAGACACCCUUAAGGAACUCAAGACGUUAUAAAUAGUUGUGUAUAAAGUAGGUAUGAGCAAUUUUUUUGCCUGACUGGGAUCAAAAUUGAUGUCAAACCUAAAAUGUUUCAGUGUGCUACAAACAAGUUGCUGGGCUUUGAUGCAUACCUUAUUAUCAUUGAGGGGAAAGGGAGGUUUUUCUCCUCUUCUUUCUUUCUUUCUUUAUUAUAAUUAUUAUUAUUAUUAUAUCUGAGGUCGAGUAAGAAGGGGGGUUGGCUAGCUGACUUCCAAGGUUAUGGGUGGGGCAGUUCUAAUACCCUUUCAGUACUUACAUGUACUUAAAGAACUCAACAUUACGGUUAUGUGUAUAGUAGAGCUAUUAGAAGUUCAGCCAGCCAAAAGUUGCAGGGAAGGGGAUCCUUCCAAAAUUUUGAAAAUGUUACAACAUGAUUAUUGCAGAAAGUAUCGUGUAAAAUAUGGCCACAGAAAAGGAACCUACCAUUGCAGUCAUGAAUGAUGAUUUCUUGAUAUUCAGUUUGAAAUAGCAUUUGCGUUAUGUCCUCACAUUGAAAACAAUGUUGAUAAAGCUAGACCAUGAUAAUAUGAUAGCAUUAAUUCAUUUUGUCAUGGAAAUAUUGGUUGUAUCUUUCCUUUCUCAAAAUUAAGUUGUAUUUAAUGGAUAUUUUUAAUUUUUAGCUUACAUUGCGGUACCAGGGUAUAUGCCCAAAAAAUGAAUACAGGCAUAAAUGAGGUUUUAUAUUUUGUUCUCUUUUAAUAGUAGGAUCAGUAACUAACUCAUUCUGUAACUGAUUGAUUCUCUUAUAUUCCAAUGAAUCUACUCUGAAUCUUUGAGAUAUGGAUCAGGUAAACAGAUUAGGUGUAAUGAGAAUAAAACUUUUAUAUAUAUAUAAAGGAGCUCUUUUGUCCUAUGAACUUUAAUCUCUCUUGAAAUUUCAGUGUCCACUGUCCAUUUCAGGGGACUGUCCAUCAUCUUUCUUUGGUGAGUGACACAUAUUUUCACAGUGCUCGUUUUUUCCAUUUAGGAAGCAUAGUUAAACCAUCCUACUGAAUUGAACCUAGUGUUCCAGCUGCUUUGGGCAAUAAUGGGCCAAGAAAUGUUGAAAGGUGUGGGUGGGAGUUUCCAGGAAACACAAAUAAUCCUGGUUUUUUCAGAUGUGGCGAGCUUCUGGAAUAACUAAUGAAUAGCAGCUUAAGUGCACUGCUAUUGUUGAUUGGUCUUUAGCAGAAGGCUUCCCAACACUCUGGUACUAGAAUAACCUUAAUAGCCAUAGUCAUUGUAAUAGAAACUGGUGGUUUCGUCCAACAAUGUGGUAAUAGGAUAGCCUUAAUUGGUGUAAGUAUAACCUUUGCUCAUGAGUGGGUUGCUCUUGCCCACUUGCCAAACAUACCCAUAGUGAUUUUUGUGAUUCUACUUGAUUGCCAUGAUAUCUAUUCGAUUCUUAGUUCCAUCUCCUAGGGAAUAUGUUGGAAAAGCAGAAAUGUAUUUGGUUAAUGCUUUUCAAAACUGUUCUACUCCUGUUAAAGAAUCAGCUUUUGUGAUAAAUUUGAAGGGGUAGAAAAUAGAAUGUGUGUGCAUCUAUGCCUAAGAAAAGAUGAGGAAGUCACAGAGAAUCUCAUGAGUUGUUGGAGAGUUUCAGGGACAUGUUAUGUUUUUUUGUGAGUACUGAGAGUUGUAGGGAUACUUGAUCUGAGUGGGGAGAAGCUGUCCUAUAUUUAAAAUUAUUAAGAUUAUUUUAGGUAUUUUAAAGUAUUAUAUAAGGGUAAGAGAUCGAACCUCCUGUUUGUUUUAUGAUAGUGUACAUUAUAAUUAACAAUGUAGGGUUAAUUUAUUUUUAAAAAUAUUUUGUGACAAUAAUGAUCUGAAAUAGAUGACACUUUACUACUUAGGAUUUGUCAGUGUCCUGAAUAUGUUGGAGGUAGGCAAGUGUCUCUCUGUUGGUGCAGACAAGUCAUUUAAACUGGUUGUGCUGCUUCAUGAUGGAUAUAAAGGACCAAUGUAAGGUAGUCAGGAUCAAGAACACUUGAAACUUAGUUCAGGUGCUGCCCCUUUUCUUUUGUCUGAAGAGUAGGAACAAACUUAAUAAAAAAGUUACCAUUGCAUCAAGAAAUCUCGCAGAAAAUCUUGUCUAAUUAACCAGUCAGUCCUCUUGUGCCUUCCUAUUUUAUGGUUUUUGGUAUGUGGUGUAAAAGCCAGUUGAAGUUUUAGUGUCCUUUGCAUAGAUGAAGGGUGGAGUUGAGGGAAUAUCAUAUAACUUACCAUCAUCAGGUCCUCAAAAGCACGAUGAAUGAGAGAUUGGGCCUCAAAUUAUGGAUCAAAUUGGAUCAGGCUAUGGUAUCCUAUUGUGAGGUGUAUUACUUACAGUUUAAAAAUUAGAAAAUGUGUGUCAUGAUGAUUGUGUUCUAAAUGCAGCUCCACCGUUUAUGGCACAUUAUUUUUAUGAAUUAUUUUGGUUUUAUUGUGUUAUUCUUUUGAUCUCCAUAUGGAUUGUAAGGUUGUAACAUAAUAUUCUGGGGAUCCCUCUAUAUCUUUUAUGAUUGUGAAUUGAGGGGAGAAGCUUCUAAGGUAAGGGGUUAAAUGUGUUUAUCCCCUUCUAACAUGCUUUAACAUGGAAUAUAUGUGCAUGUGCUUCCCGUCAUUUUGUAAUGGGUAGUGUAUUUGUUGCCAUAUUAGGAAAAUAAAGUAUUCUAGUUUUGGAUGACAUUGGUCUAUUAAAAUCCUUAGCAUGUUCAUUAUCAUUGUGCUAACUCUACAGUGUAAUUUACCUAAUCACAUUCUGGACUCAUGGGUAUUAGCAGUCACUUAUUUGUUCAUGAAGUGAUUAUACAUCCUAUACUAGCCUUGUUGAACUUUGAUUUUCUAUUACUCCAUUGCUUAAUGUGCUGUAGUUUUUAUUGAAUCUCUGCCUAAGGAUCACAAAUUGUGAGCUUUUCAGCCUUUUGACCUCAAGGUGUUGUUUGAAUUGUUCCUUUCCUCCCAGGUAUCCUCAUUCUACUAAAAUUACACAUAUGUUUGGCCUUAGCUGUGCCUGACCUGACCUUAAAAUUUGAAAUCUUCCCAUUGUUCUAACUUAGGAUUAAUGCAUUUUCUAGUUUUUUGAACUGAAACUACAUUGCCUGCAAACAUCAUAGAUCAUUGCCAUGGUUGAUAGUGAAUGGAAAAUAGGUGAAACGAAAGAGGAUGACUAAAGUGGCAUCAAUUAAGUAAAACGUACAGAGAGCCCAUCAAAACAAUCUAGAAUCUACUAAGCUAAAUCACUUUUACAUUGUAUCUCAUGGACCACUUGUUAACAUGUAAAUAUAAAAUUCUGUGCCUUUGUUUUGUUAUUAUUUUCUUAAAGCAUUAUGAACAUAAAAAAAUGAAAAGAAGUGUACCAAAAGGGCAAACAAAGUUAUAUGGUUCCCUAGCUGGCAAUGGUCACCAGUUCGAGUCCCCUCAGGGCCACUGGAGGUUUACUCGGUCGUUAACUUCAGGGUCCUGUGGGAUUAGUCGAGGUGCGCGUAAGUUGGCCCGAACAUCCACGGUUAUCAAAAAAAAGAAAAUGGUUCCUAGCUGGCAGAGGCCUGAUCAAUUCUUGGAACUGGUCCUGGUUUCAGGCCACUGGAUAUGUUGCAGCUGUAGGUUUCAGCAAGAUGUUGUUGCUAAAACAUUGAACAGGCAUGGCUUUGUGUAGGAGUGAAUAGCAGUUCACUUGCCUGUGGUUGGAUUUUAUAGGUAAGAUAUCCAAAACAAAAUGAAAAGCAAAAUUAGUCCACCUAUAUGAAAUAGUCAGUUAGCGGUUGAUUCAAACCUGGCUCCGGUGACAUGAGGUUGGCUUGGGGUUCAUAGAGGUUCCAAUCUAAAUACAUGUAACAGUAAAAAAGGAAAAAGAAGCAUUCAAAUUAAAUACAAUUAGUCAAAUUCCUGUACAGGAGAGAUUGUUCAGUUCACUGUUUUUGAUAUCUGUGCUUCUCUUGAGGAAUUUUUUAAGUGACUUGUUUCACUGUGUUGCCCUUGAAUUUUAAAAAUUGUUAUCUGCACUAUUAAGUAUUCCCUUUGGAGUGGUUUGGUUUACUAUUUUGCCCUUCAUUAUUUAAAAAUCUUUCCAAAAAAUUUUGUUAGCAUUGUGAAUGAAGCUUAAAUUGGUAAAUAGAUGACAAUGUAGUGAUAGUUGCAAACCUACCCCUCAAUGAUUUGCUUUGUUGUUCCUCCUGAACAUACUGUCUCUCACAGAUCCCUUGAGAUACCCAUUUAUCAUAUUUUAAGAAUUUAAAGAACAGCAUACUUCGAUCUUCAGGAUUCUGAAAAUUUAAAUGAAAAGGGGUAAAAUAUUUCUAAAUUAUGUUAGGGAAUUUCACAUGCAUCGCAUAUACUUGGAUAUGCUUUAUCUGCCUAAAGCAAUUCAAGACUUGAGUAUGGUUUUGUUGGGUGUGGUAAGUUGUUUUUCCAGAAAUGCUCAUAUAGGUUUAGGUGCAUUACUGUAUGGCUCCUUAAACAUUCUUCAAGGAUAUCUUGUGUGGACUAUUCAUUUUAGGGGACAACUGAUUCUCUGAGGUUGCUUAUCCCUAGGAAUUGAGAUUUUGGGCCCUGGAAGCCCUUGGGAGUAAAUUUCUUUUGUUACUGUGGCUUCUAUGUGUAUCAUUUUGUGUAAAGUAGAACUUUUGACUUGAGUAUGACAGCUUGGAGACAAUUUUAGAUAAGAGUCAACUGCAGUUUACUCCAAAGCUUUAUUCAGUGAAGGGUUUGAGGUAUCUAAGGGUUCAAGGGUCCCAAGAUGUGCUGUGCAGGGAUUGCAGAUCUUAGCUUCCCAGGUUGAAGUGUGCAGGCGUAGUUGGGGUGUGAUGAAGGCUUGACUCUAUAUGUAUUAUUCAUUAGGCUAUGGUUUUGGGUAUUGGUUUUGUCAAAUCCUUUUUCAUGCUUCUCUAUCCCUCUCUGCCCAUAACAAAUGAAAAAAUUUUCUCCCCUCCCUCCCUCUCGUGUGUGAAGAGUGUUCAUGUGUGCAAGGGUGUGUUGAUGAUGACUGAGGAGGCCCAUUUAUAAUUUGUUGUAUCUAGGUCCAAUUCUUUAGAAUUAAUAACAAUUUUGUUUUCAAGAUUAUUAGUGGUAAGAAGUAAGCCUGAUCAGAUACCACUUUAGAAUUCACUAUGUGCAAAAUAUGCUGCAUUUCUACAUUUACAGAGCAAAGCUGUAUAUUCCUCAUUGUAUUUUUAUUUAUUUUUAUUUUUUUCUGUUUUUAUUUUUUUAUUUUAAAUUUAUAGCCAAAAAAUAAUGCAGUUUAGCUAAUGGUUUCUUGAUUGAAAGGGUCAGGGUUCAUUAAUUGCAUCAGAACUAGAACCAGUAUGAUUCAGAAGCAGAGAAAUAAUUGGAACCGGGGGUUGGAUAGCUUAGCUAAUGCUUGAUCCAUUGAUAGUUCUAUUUGUGUGAGAUCCUUUAUAACAAUAACCUGUAGUUUCAUGAUUGAGCGACAUCCCGUUAUAGGUAAAGCUAAAUUGGUCUUUGAAUAAAGUGUUCAUUCUAUGUUUUGGAUUGUUUCUACAUUAUGUUCAAAUUUUCUGAUUCCUUGAUUCAAUUUGCAUAAAUGUAGUUAAUUUUCUGCUUGAGACAUGGCAAAUAUUAUGAUGUGGUUUUUAUGCUUGGGUGCAGUAGUAGAAUAUUUGCAUCAACUCAUUUUCCUGCUAGUGUGACUUAAGGAAAAAGAGCUGAGUGAGGCUCUGUAAUGUUAGCCGUAUUCAGUUUUGUAUAAUGCAAACUUAAUGUGGUAAUUUAGGGCUGGCUUUCAUAUUUGGCAGCAGUUUGGUUUUCUCUAGCUGGCAUGUAAUUUGAAGUCUUGUACGUCUUGUGUGUUGGGGGGUGUUGUGGCGUAAGGUAUCACCUGGGUAAGUGCUUUCAUGCAUACAAAAUGACAUAUAUGGGCUUAUGGUGGUUUUGAUGGUAGCGCCAUGGUGGUGCUACAGUUGGUAAUUUGGAGGAGUAAAGCAUGGGGUAGUUGUAGUAAGGUGUUUUGGAAAAUAGUAAGGUAGGCAAAAAUGGAGCUGCUGUGGUGUUGAGGGCUCUGCACUGACAUGAUUGUGGUGCUUCUGGUGUUUGUUGAGGACACUCUACUUCCCAUGUUGCGUUUUCUUGAUGCCUGUGAGAUCAAAUGGCUGAUUUUUAGGGCCGCUAAUUGUCACUUAAUGAGAAGUAGCACCCUUGGCCAAUGUGUUAAGUCUGCAUAGCACUAUCAAGUUUGAAUGUAUUUGUAUCUGCCCAAGUUCAACUUGAUAUGAAGUUCCAAGUGUUCAACUGACAUGAUUUUAUUUAUAUAAAGUUGGGUUUGUA